GGAGGGUGCGAGCGUUAAUCGGAAUUACUGGGCGUAAAGCGCGCGUAGGCGGCUUGGUCAGUCGGAUGUGAAAGCCCCGGGCUUAACCUGGGAAUUGCAUUCGAUACUGCCAGACUAGAGUAUGGGAGAGGGAAGCGGAAUUUCCGGUGUAGCGGUGAAAUGCGUAGAUAUCGGAAGGAACACCAGUGGCGAAGGCGGCUUCCUGGCCCAAUACUGACGCUGAGGUGCGAAAGCGUGGGGAGCGAACAGGGAUUAGAUACCCUGGUAGUCCACGCCGUAAACGAUGAGAACUAGAUGUCGGGAGGAUUUGCCUCUCGGUGUCGCAGCUAACGCGUUAAGUUCUCCGCCUGGGGAUACGCCGGCAACGGUA
rnacentral:rRNA from 1 species